GUGUGUGAGAAGUUGAAAAGUUAGGAUAUAGAGGGGAAUUAAAUUUGUAUCAAUCAUCGCUAACGAAAAACGAUUCUGAGCGGAGCCUGGCCAAUAGUAUUACUUGUUCAACAGUGUGCGUUUUCGCGAGAGAAACGGUUGUUUAAAAAAAUAUUAAAAUAAUAAAAACUUAAUAAUAACAAAAAAUAAAUAAAAACGGUUGUCAAAU